GGUGUAGUUCAAUGGUAGAACACGUGUUUAGCAUGUACAAGGCCCUGGGUUCCAUUCCCAGCACC
rnacentral:tRNA from 1 species